CACGUAGGGGGCAAGCGUUGUCCGGAUUUAUUGGGCGUAAAGAGCUCGUAGGCGGUUCGGUAAGUCGGGUGUGAAACCUCCAGGCUCAACCUGGAGACGCCACUCGAUACUGCCAUGGCUUGAGUCUGGUAGGGGAUCACGGAAUUCCUGGUGUAGCGGUGAAAUGCGCAGAUAUCAGGAGGAACACCGGUGGCGAAGGCGGUGAUCUGGGCCAGUACUGACGCUGAGGAGCGAAAGCGUGGGGAGCAAACAGG
rnacentral:rRNA from 1 species